CUCUUUUUCCACACCAUGCGCUACAAGUCCCAGGACCCCCGGAACCCGCACAAUGACCGCUUUGUGCUCUCCAAGGGCCAUGCAGCUCCCAUCCUGUAUGCGGUCUGGGCUGAAGCUGGCUUCCUGCCCGAGGCGGAGCUGCUGAACCUGAGGAAGAUCAGCUCCGACUUGGACGGGCACCCGGUCCCGAAACAAGCUUUCACGGAUGUGGCCACUGGCUCCCUGGGCCAGGGCCUCGGGGCCGCUUGUGGGAUGGCCUACACCGGCAAAUACUUCGACAAGGCCAGCUACCGAGUCUAUUGCUUGCUGGGAGACGGGGAGCUGUCAGAGGGCUCCGUAUGGGAGGCCAUGGCCUUCGCCAGCAUCUAUAAGCUGGACAACCUCGUGGCCAUUCUAGACAUCAAUCGCCUGGGCCAGAGUGACCCGGCCCCGCUGCAGCACCAGAUGGACAUCUACCAGAAGCGGUGCGAGGCCUUCGGGUAUGUACGAGGCUGUGGUCUGAGUGUGGUCACAGCACGGAGAGUAGUCUGUGAUUGCAGCUUUGCAGUUGCAGGUGCAGGAGCUGAAGCUGGGACCUUAAGCACCAUCUAAAGGUCCUUUUCUUUAGCA
rnacentral:sRNA from 1 species